CAAUCGCCAGGGAACUACGAGCUAAGCUUAAAACCCAAAGGACUUGACGGUACCCCAUAUCCCCCUAGAGGAGCCUGUCCUGUAAUCGAUAAUCCACGUUAAACCUCACCAUUUUUAGUUAAUCAGCCUGUAUACCUCCGUCGUCAGCUUACCACGUGAGCGCCAAUUAGUGAGCUUAAUGUUUUUCACCAAUACGUCAGGUCAAGGUGCAGCAAAUAAAGUGGGAAGAGAUGGGCUACACUCUCUAUUUUAGAAAAAACGAAAAACUACCUAUGAAACCUAGUUAGAAGGCGGAUUUAGCAGUAAAAAGGAAUCAGCAUGUCCAUUUUAAUCCGGCACUGGGGUGUGUACACACCGCCCGUCACCCUCUUCAAAGCUUCAAACACAGUUUUUAACAAAUUUAAGCGCGACAGAAGAGGCAAGUCGUAACA
rnacentral:rRNA from 1 species